GCCCAAUAACUAGCCCCCCCAAACAACUUCAACCAACCCCUGUUAAUAACCCCUAAGUACCCCCGCAUUCAAAUUAAACAAACCAUUUUCCCCCCUUAGUAUAGGCGAUAGAAAAGGAGCCACGGCGCAAUAGAGAAAGUACCGCAAGGGACUGCUGAAAGAGAAAUGAAACAACCCAAUACAAGCCUGGAAAAGCAGAGACUAAGCCUCGUACCUUUUGCAUCAUGAUUUAGCAAGUGUACCCCAAGCAAAGAGUACUUUAGUUUGACGCCCCGAAACUACGUGAGCUACUCCAAGACAGCCUAGCAAUAGGGCCUACCCGUCUCUGUGGCAAAAGAGUGGGGAGAGCUUUGAGUAGAGGUGACAAGCCUACCGAACCUAGUUAUAGCUGGUUGUCCAAGAAAUGAAUAGAAGUUCAGCCCCUUGGCUUCUCUUUUCACCCUAGACUAACCCCUAUUGAUGCACCGAAGAAACCAAGGGAGUUAGUCAAAGGGGGUACAGCCCCUUUGAACCAAGACACAACUUUUACAGGUGGAU
rnacentral:rRNA from 1 species